CUCAUACAUUGGAAUGGAAGAAGAAGAAGAAUUCAAGGCUCUUGGUUAGGAAUCGAGUUGGUCAGAUGCCUAAUAGCACAUUUGGUGUGCCAAUCUACAGACUUCAGAACAAACGUUGCAGGUUCGAUCGCCUUCCCUGGCUGGGCCUUGGACUCUGUCUCAGUCACCAGUCACGUGUGUGUAGGAUCUCAUGGUUCUCAUUUGCAGUAUAGCCUCCCCUGUGUGCCCCCACCUCUGCGUCUGGGGAGAUCACAGACUAAGGAAGGCCUUCGCUGUGCACCUGAAGACCUGGCUGGCUCUGUGCCCUCUCACACCACCUGUGACUCCAGUUCUGGGGGAUCUGACACCCUCUUCUGAACUCUGUGGCACCUGUACACACGAGGUACCGUGUUGGCUCAUCACCUCCCUGUGGCUGCUUCAGCAGGGCUCUGAGAACCACAUUUCCUUGAAUCCAGGGCAGGCACCCACUGACAGCUCUUACCUUCUCCCUCCGUUCACGGAUCUAGAGCACCGUGGCUGCUCUCUUUCCUCACCUUGGUUAUUCUGACUGCUCCAGAAGAGCAUGUGUGACGCUCAGUCCCGAGCAGUGCAGAAGCACAGCCCACAAGUGUGACCACUGAAAGUUCAGCAAAGGAGCCAAGAGCUGGGAACUAAAAUGUGCCACCCAGGAAGAACAGCCACAAGCGGAAAAAUGCAUAAUAAGGAACAGUUUUCUCUGAGCCGAUAGGUGACAAAAUAACAUACUUAACUGAAUUUAUUAUUGUCCACCACUACGUGAUUUCUUAUAUACUGGACAUGUUUAGAUCAAUAAUAAAGACCCAAAUAAUUGAA